rnacentral:rRNA from 1 species
UACGAAGGGAGCUAGCGUUGUUCGGAAUCACUGGGCGUAAAGCGCACGUAGGCGGACGUGUCAGUCAGGGGUGAAAUCCCGGAGCUCAACUUCGGAACUGCCUUUGAUACAGCACGUCUUGAGUCCGGAAGAGGUGGGUGGAAUUCCUAGUGUAGAGGUGAAAUUCGUAGAUAUUCGGAAGAACACCAGUGGCGAAGGCGGCUCACUGGCCCGGUACUGACGCUGAGGUGCGAAAGGCGUGGGGAGCAAACAGG